rnacentral:rRNA from 1 species
CCCAGAAAGUACGUCGUAGUCCGGAUCGGAGUCUGCAACUCGACUCCGUGAAGUCGGAAUCGCUAGUAAUCGUGGAUCAGAAUGCCACGGUGAAUACGUUCCCGGGCCUUGUACACACCGCCCGUCACACCAUGGGAGUGGGCUGCACCAGAAGUAGAUAGCUUAACCUUCGGGAGGGCGUUUACCACGGUGUGGUUCAUGACUGGGGUGAAGUCGUAACAAGGUAGCCCUAGGGGAACCUGGGGCUGGAUCACCUCCUUAACGA